rnacentral:rRNA from 1 species
GAUGAACGCUGGCGGCGUGCCUAAUACAUGCAAGUCGAGCGAAGGGAUUAAUAGCUUGCUCUUAUGAAGUUAGCGGCGGAGGAGUGAGUAACGAGAGGGAACGUGCCGUUCAGUACGGGAUAACACAGGGAAACUAGGGCUAAUACUGGAGACGUAGGAGAGGAGAAGGAUUUAGCGCUAAAGUAUCGGCACGCGUCUGAUUAGCUAGUUGGUGGGGUAAUGGCCCACCAAGGCAACGAUGCGUAGCCGACCUGAGAGGGUGAUCGGCCACACUGGGACUGAGACACGGCCCAGACUCCUACGGGAGGCAGCAGUAGGGAAUCUUCCGCAAUGGACGAAAGUCUGACGGAGCAACGCCGCGUGAGUGAUGAAGGCUUUCGGGUCGUAAAACUCUUUUGUUAGGGAAGAACAAGUGCUAGUUGAAUAAGCUGGCACCUUGACGGUACCUAAACAAAAAGCAACGGCUAACUACGUGCCAGCAGCCGCCGUAA